GAGCAAAACCAGCGACGCGUCCCGGACGCCCGGGGACCCCUGUGGGUCUCGGUUUCCUUCGCUGUGACCCUGACAUGUUUCCCUCCACCGGCCCGAGGAAACCGUCGCUUCCAGCCUCCAGGUACCGUCACCUCUGCGGGGCUGCGAGCGGAGGACCGGGACAGAGAAGGAGCCGGCGGUCCUGGCCAGCCGCGCGGCUCAAAACCCGACGGCGCGGGGACUCCGGGCCUGGGGCCUCCAUGGCUGUGGCCUCCUUAUCUCCCGGGCCGGCUGCUCCCUACGCUGCGGGGCUGAGGGCACUGGGGACCCAGGGGCUUCUCUGGCACUAGCGAGGACCUAACCUUGAGUGAAGAACGAUGUCAAGUGAAAGUGAAGAAUAACGGGGGUGGGCGCGAAGAGAAUGGUCUUGGGGCGCGCUUGCGCCUCUACCCGAGGACCGAGGUGGGGAUUCGACAGACGCCAGCGGUGGGGAUCCGGGGCGAGAAGCCCCGACUUUCUGAGUCGUGAGCCGCCUCCAGUCGCCCCAGGACGUAACCCCGAGGAGCUUUCAGACACUGGCCGCGCCUAAUAUCGCUGAGAACCGCGAAAACCGGAGUUCCGGCCGCCUCCCGGACUGGCGUCCCGAGGCCAGGGGACCCGCUUGGGGCUCCCGGCCGAGCCCCGACCUCGGACGUUUUUCCGGGAGCCGCGAGAGGCCUGGGGGCCUGGGCCAGGCGCCGCGGCGGGCAUCGAUCGCCGGCUCCCAGAGAGUGGCCCCGCGCAGGUGGAGGUGACCCCGUCACCUCCAGGAGCGCCCCCAAGCCCCGGUACCCGCAGCGUGCGCCCUCUCCUCCUCCCCGAAGGUUAAGUUCGUCUUUUUCGGUUCUCGGUUACGCAUCCCCUUGGCACGCAUGCCCAGCCACACCGUGGGCGAAACUAGAGGGCCCGCGUCCCCUGGGGGCUGCCGCGGGGCCCCGAGUGAGGUGUCCCCUCCGGGCCGGGCCCGAGUCGGAGGCCCCCUUUGCAGCCUAGAGGAGCGCGGGGCUGGCGCUGCGCAGGAACCGCCAGGCCGGGGAGGGGGCCGCGCCCGGGCCUGGGCCAAGAGCGCGCGUCCCCCGCCCGGGCCCUGCGGCCCUCCCCAGGUGUCUGAGCAGAGCUGCUGAAGCUGCAGAAAUGUGCUGGCGCCUGUCCACCGCCGCACACAAAACCCAGCCAAAAGCGGCGAGAGGAAAAGCGAAUAUGGCGCUGCUGAAAAUGGAGACUCCGCAUCUAGAAAGUCUUUCUUUCCUUUCCUCUUUUCGCUCUUACUUCGUCGAUCUUUUCCCCCUUGCCCUCUCACGAGGGCCUCCUGCGCUUUCCUUCGGGUGUUCUCUACCCCUCGGCCCCUUUCCUGUUCUUAUGAAUAACCUCCUUUACUCGGUUUUCCUUCUUCCUUUCCACUCCCGGUUCCUCUUUCUCCAUUUUGUGUCACAGGCGCCUUGCUUCUUGUUCCCUUUCAGGGCGCGCACUCCCCCGCCCGGCUCACUUUAUUUUGUGUGUGGGUGGCGGAGCAGGGAGGGGGUGGCAAGGAUCGUGAGGCUAAGUAUCGAGUUUGUUUGUUUGUUUUUCUUUCUUUCUUCUUCUUCUUUUUAAAGGUGUUAUCUUAGGAGCCAAGCAUCUCCUUUGGUCCUGCGCUCCUUCGCCUAGCGCCUGGUGCCCCCCACCCGGCUGCAUCCGAGGCUUGCGCGGCCCGGUCCCAUCAGCCGAGCGUCGCCCGCCCAGGAGGAGGCUCGGGUUCUCCGCAGAAGCGAAUACUUUCUCUUUUUGUUUUAAGUUAGAACCUUGCUUUUGCAGUGAUUCGUUGCUGUGGCGUGAUUUUAAACAGGUGAGAAAUCGGAGUCUCAUUUUCCCAGGGGGGCUUCCAAUGAGGAUUUUAAGAGAAGCGUGCAAAGAAGACAGCAAUGUCCAUCUUUUUUUUUUCUUGUUUUCUUUUGAACAGAGGGAACCCCCACGCGCUGAGAUAGUUAUGUUUUUAAGGCUAAACUUUUUUAAAAUUAGUUUUUCUUUUACACUUAUGGCUGACUUUUGAUCCUUUUAAAGAAAGGAUGAAGUCAAAACAGAUUAAUGCUUUUGAAUACACAACGUCCCCACGUCCCCAAAUUGUGGUGCUGGGAUAGUUCCUCUAAGAUGCAUUCUGAUUUUGAAGUUCAAGGUCUCUAAGCGCUGUUAAGCGGAACCAUGAAAAAUACGUUGCUACAUUAAAGAUAAAACAGACGGUGAUACUGACUGCAGAAUCGUAGUAGAAACUUUUUUUUUUUUUUUGAGGCUGUGCAGGAUUUGCCUUGGUUUUAUUAGGGAACCUGCUAAUAGAAGCAAUUUCAAGUGACGGGCUUCCCUCAGUAAAAAGCUGGAAGCAAUGACAUCUUUUCUAUCUGAGUGACUCUCCUUAGUCGUGGUAAAUAAAUAAAUAAAUAAAUAAAUAGAUAGAUAGAUAGAUAAAUAAAUAAAUAAAUAAAAAUUAGUUUACAUGCAGUGUUUGAAAAGAAAAUGAUUUUGCUUCCCAAGUUUUUAUGUGUUUUCUUUUUUACCAACUAUAUUUCACUUUAUUUACAAUUGUCAGUUUAUUCUCACACCUUCUGGUUAGUUUUAUCUUCUCACCAUGGUCUGUUAGAACCCCAUCCUCGAGCAAAAAAACAAAAACAAAAACCACCCCCCCAAAACAAACAAACAAACAAACAAAACAGGUGUUCAUCCCUGUGAGAUGCUAAUGCCCCUGGAACUGUUUGAAAAGAGCAAAAUUUUGUAAGGAGAUUCUUUUCAAAAAGUGUUAGAGAAGUAUUCUUCAAAAACAUCUUAGAAUGUUUCCUUAAAAAAUUUCCUUUCUUGGUUUUCAUUAAUUGCCUUUGAUUAAAAUUAGGUUACAAACAUAUCUUAAUUUCAGACUGUUUCUUUAUAAAAGAAAGGAGAAAGUAAAUAGGUGUUGGCAAGGACUAAACCAAUGCAACUAGGCCCUGUUGAGAGCCUAAAUCUGUAAACUGGUACCCUUAAAAAACAUCAAUCAACUUGAGGUUCGUACAGGUAGUUCUUUGACUCAAACAGUUGAUUUUUAAAAGUCUUAUAAAAUAGGUUAAAAUGUGUUUUUAGUCCAGGUUCCUACUUCUUUGUUAUGCAUUUCUCCUCGUAGAUAAAUAAAUGAAUCUAACUUGAUGAGUAGGUAGAUUUUUCUCCAGAAGAACUUUCUAAAAAUGGGCAAAGUUAGGGAAGUGAUUAAUACCCUUCAGUUUAAUUGGAAUUAUUCAGUGCUUAUACCAAGUUAAUCCUAUUAAGAUGCUAUUUCCUGCUCAGGGGGAUAAAUUAAGCACAACUUAGAUUAUUUUAGGUGGACAACUGGUAUAUAGUCUAAGCAAUGGGGGCUGGAAAAAAGUAUCUCUUCUCCAAAAAAUAUAGAUUAUGUACCAGUAAUGUUCAAAGUACUUUGAGGAAGUGUAUUGAUGGGAUGAAUAUAAAUCAUAGUGACUGUUGUUAAGGGGUUUACGGAUUAUAAAGAGCAAUUGAGCUUCCUUUAUUUUCUCUUAUUUAGAAAACAAACAUUCAUAAGAAAAAAAUAAAAUUAGAUCCCUUCUUUUGCCCACAUACAAAUUCAGUUUCAGAUCAAUUAAAAAGUUAAAUAAGAAAAAUAGAAUUAAAAAAAUAUUGGAAGGCUGGGCGCAGUGGCUCACGCCUGUAAUCCCAGCACUUUGGGAGGCCAAGGCGGGCAGAUCACGAGGUCAGGAGAUUGAGACCAUCUUGGCCAACAUGGGGAAACCCUAUCUCUAGUAAAAAUACAAAAAUUAGCUGGUUGUGGUGGCACAUGCCUGUAAUCCCAGCUACUCGGGAGGCUGAGGCAGGAGAAUCGCUUGAACCUGGGAGGCAGCGAUUGCAGUGAGCCGAGAUCGCGCCACUGCACUCUAGCCUGGCAGCAGAGUUAUCUCUGUAACUCUCCAUCUCAAAAAAAAACAAAAAAAAUUGAAAGGAAAUAUAGAAUUUGUAGUAUGAAAGGAUUUCUUAAACAAAACAUUAAAAUACACAAUCCAUUAAGGAAAUGAUCAAUUGGAUGACAGUCAUGCUCCAAAUAAUGAUAUGUUAGUCAAUACAUGAUAAUAGUCCCAUAAGGUUAUAAUAUUGUAUAUUUACUGUACCUUUUCUAUGUGUAGAUGUGUCUAAUUAUACAAAUACCAUUGUGUUACAAUUGCCUACAGUAUUCAAUACAGUCACAUGCUGUACAGGUUUGCAGCCUAGGAGCAAUAGGCUUGUACCAUAUACAAACCAUCUAGGUUUGUGUAAUUACACUCUAUGAUGUUAGCAUGACAAAACUGCCUAUGGACCUAUUUCUCAGAAUAUGUCCCUGUAGUUGAGUGCCAUGUGACUGUAUAUAAAAAUUUUUAAAAAUACUUUUUACAUGACAAAAGAUAUCAUAAAAUGUUACAAGAUAAACUGAGAAGAUAUUUUCAAGGCAUGUACUUGGUGAAGGAUUCAUAUUCAAAAUGUAUAAAUAACUUAUAUAGAAAGAAUUUACUAAUUUAUGUAUAAUGAAUUUCAUAAAUAAAAGAUGUGGGCCAGGAUAUAUACAUAUGAAGUGAAAGUAUAGUACUAUCAAUAGGAUGAAUACAUAUCAACUUCAAAAAAUGUAAUUUCCUUUGGGAUAGAAAGAAAGAAGGAAGGAGGGGGAAUAGGAAGAGGGCAACAACUUCCUGCCCAGGGGGCAACAACUCUUUUUUUUUUUUUUUUUGAGACAGAGUCUUGCUUUUGUCCCCCAGGCUUGAGUACAAUGACUCGAUCUCGGCUCACUGCAACCUCCGCCUCUCGGGUUCAAAUGAUUCUCCUGCCUCUGCCUCCCAAGUAGCCAGUUAAGGCACCUGCCACCAUGCCCGUCUAAUUUUUGUGUUUUUUAGUAGAGACGGAGUUUCACCAUUUUGGCCAGGCUGGUCUCGAACUCCUGACCUCAGUUGAUCCGCCCACCUCAGCCUCCCAAAGUGCUGGGAUUACAGGCAUGAGCCACUGCGCCCAGCCCACAGCAAUUCUUUAUAAAAAGAUCAGAGGCAACUAUGGGAAGACAUUAACACUUUUUGUUCUUUGUAGAUUGUUAAAAGCUUGUUAUAAUUUAUUUAAAAAUCUCUAACAUCAAUUCCUAGUCUAAAGAAUGAACAAAUGACACAUUUCUUUUCCUUAGUCAAUAAUAAUCUUGUAAGAUGGUGUUCACGUGCUUUUCUUUGAGGGCAAAGAAAACACCAUUCCCCAGUGUUUUUCCUGGGCAGUGUUUGAAUAUUAUAUGAUACUCACAGCAGAGAUUUUCCUAGUUUGGCUUCUGUUGUAAGCUUGUUUUCUGAGUAGAUUUAAAUGAGAAGAACAGAAACAUAUUUGAAACUAUGACUAUGUAUAAGAGCAUUUAUUCUCCUAUAAUGAAAUCGUGGAAAAUGUUUUUAAAAAGUGAGCAAACAAAAACCUCCACACCAUUAUAGAAACACGGUUAAAAAACUAUUGAAUAAUCUCAAGCCUAGUGUGUAAUAAUUAUUAAGUGUGUCUAAUUUGUUGUGCUAAGUGUCAGGAAUUGGUAUUGUGGAAGGAUAUGUGAGAUCUCAUUUUCUCCUUUUAUAUGGCAGGAGUUUAUACAGUAUUUACAUCUGUCAUUGAUACUUUUUAUGAACAGAAGUUUUGUUUACUUAUAACUUCCACAGGGAUUAUUCAUAUGGAGCACUGGAAAGAUGUAACAUUUCAUUUGCUUUGAUACCUUGUGUUUAUUUUAGGUCGAAAAGCAUCAUGAAGCCAAGUGGUUAUUGUUUUGCUUAUUCAGUGUGAACUGAGUGAGCCAGGUUUGUAUACCAAGUGAUUCUCGUGGUGGACAAUACCAAUAUGAUUAUGCCAAAUGCAUUGCUUCUGAGGCAUCACUCUUUGGGCACAUAUAGACCCUGCUGAUUUCUGCCAAAGCACUCUUCUUAAAGUUCCAAAACAUUACCCCAAAACCUCUAUAGCCCCCUAUUGCCAACAAAAUUAAAGCCUUUCUCUUCAUUGGCAUUAGAAGCCCCUGUAACCCAUUGCUUUUCCAUUUCCAGCCUCUUUCCAAAAUUACCAAACAAACUCUGUAUCCUGCAGCCACCAAACUGUACUAGUUGUAAUAUAUUCACUAAGAACAGUGGUCUCUCAUUUGUCUCUCUUUUCUCUCUUCUUAUAUCAGUUAGAAUGUAACAGACAACCCAGCUAACACAGAGGCUCAUUUUUCUUAUGUGACAAGAAGUCUGUAGAUAAAGAGUUGCUAGUGUUUUCUUGGGGGUUCAGUGAUAUCACCUCUGUGAUUCAGUUGACCUUCAUAUCAUAGUUGCAAAAUGGCUGCCGUAAGUACAAAAACCACACUGACUGCUGGGUGGGAAGGCAACAGAAAAUUUGUUCUUGGUGAGUCUUACUCACGUCAAGGAAGUAUAAUAUUUUCCAAAAUGCCCCACCAAAGGAUUUCCUCUUACAUCAUAUUAGCCAGAACUGGGACAUAUUAUCACCCUUUAUCUGGGGUAGAGGCCCACAUUUCCACAUCAAAGGGAAUUUGCUCAAUGCCUAAAUCAAACUGGAAUUCAGUUAAGCAAAGAAGAAACAGAGGAAUGGUUUUUGGGUAGGCAGUAAACACUGUCAGCUACAUCUCCCUGAAAGCCAUCACUCCCUUAAAAUAUCUUUGCGUAAUGUCAUCAGUUACUUCUGAACUUUUUCAUCCAAUGGACAGUGUUUAUUUUCUAACUUACUUGAACUUUUUGUGGGGCUUAGCCACACCCUUUUUGAAAUUUAUGUAUUCAUCAAAUACCCACUCAUCACUUACUGUGUAUUAGUCACUCUGCUGGGCAAAGAGAAUGAAAAAAUGAGUCAUGCAUGGUCCUGAACCUUCACAAGUUUAUAGCCUAGUGGGGCAGACAGGUGAAUAAAUAAGUGCAAAAGAAUGUUAUAGAUACUGUGAUAAAAUUAUGUUUCGUGGGCCGGGUGUGGUGGCUCAUGCCUGUAAUCUCAGCACUUUGGGAGGCUGAGGCGGGUGGAUCACCUGAGGUCAGGAGUUUGAGACUAGCCUGGCCAACAUGGUGAAACCCCGUCUCUAAUAAAAAAUAACAAAAAUUAGCUGGGCGUGGUGGCAGGCACCUGUAAUCCCAGCGACUGGGAGGCUGAGGCAGGAGAAUUGCUUGAACCCAAGAGGCAGAGAUUGCAGUGAGCUGAGAUCACGCCAUUGCACUGCAGCCUGGGCAACAAGAGAAAACUUUGUCUCAAAAUAAAUAAAUAAUAUGUUUUGUGGGUUUUUUUUUUUUUCUUUGACAGGGUUCUUACUCUGUCACCCAGCCUGGAGUGCAGUGGCACGAUUAUAGCUCACUAUAACCUCGGGCUCCCUGGCUCAAGCAAUUCUCCUGCCUCAGCCUCCUGAGUAGUUGGAACUAUGCAGGCUAAUUAUUUUAUCUUUUGUAGAAAUGGGGUCUUGCUAAGUUAGCCAGGCUUGUCUUGAACUCCUGAGCUCAAGCGGCCUUCCCACAUUGACUUCCCAAAGUGCUGGGAUUACAGGCAUGAGCCACCAUGCCGGGCUUAGAAUGAUGAAUGAGAUAAAAUGGGGUACAAAGAAAGGAGCAGCCAUUUCUGGAUCUCAGGUGUGAUGUCUCUUUUCAGGGAAGGACAGGGGUGAUACAGCCAUUAAUAAAAGCAAUCUCACUUUCCUGGUUGGUUGUCUCUUUGCCUCCUCCCCUGGAAUAAUACAGACCUCUGUAGAAAAUCACAGGCAGGGUAGGGAUGACGGAGCUGGCCUCCUCCCUUCCCUUGGCCUGACAAAUAUGCAUGGAAUUCCCAGGAAUGUUCAAGCUUUUUUUUUUUUUUUUUCCAAACUUCAGAUUAGAAUCCAACUCAUGUAGAAUCCAUGUAGAAUCCGACUCAAACAGAAUCCAUCAGGCAUGAGAAUUCUGGAAUGCCCUUCCUGGUUUAUCUACUUCAUCUGUGUUCCAUGAAGGGCACCUGGUCUCACACCUAGACUCCGGGAGCUCCAGGUCCCUACUCUCUUAGGUUUCAGGGCCUAACCAAUCAGGAUGGCAAGAAGGAUGUAUUUGGGGAGAUCCAAGCCUGUCUGCUUGGCUGUAGUGUAGGACUGGGGGGAAAAGAAAGGCACAGUAAGGAUCAAAACAAGGCUGGAGCAGUAGGUAAAGAUGAGUUCAUGCCAACGUAGGAGGCUUGAAGAUGUUUGGUAAGUCAUAGGUUCCCAAACUUUCCAGCUCACUGCAUCUGUAGCAUCUUCGUAAUUUGUUCAUGGUGCCCUCAGCCAGAAGACAUACUUCACAAUUCCAUUCGUUAAGUAGGUAAGUCUAAACAACAUAUUAGUGGUCAUUUGUGAGGUGUUUGAUAGGUGGGGCUGUAUUUCUCUCAAACAUUUAAAAUAUCCCACAGCAACCUUGUGAGUUUGUUCCCUGUGGUGUCCCAGGGUGACCUGAUGGGAAAUUUGAGAACCAUGGUAUAGGUCGCUAAAGAUUUUUCAUCUGGUGAAUUAAAUAUUUGAUUUUGUAUUUGAGAAAGCGCCAUCUUUCUGUAGAUUGGAGUAAAGGCGUGGUGGGAGGUAAGGAGACCAUAAGUUAGUGGUAGUCAUUUAGGAGAGAAGUGAUGGGGAUAUAAAAUGAGACAUACUAAUGAGCAUGCUGCUGGAUCUAAAAUAUGUUAUGGAGGUAGAAUGGAGAGGAGGAUUUCCUUAUCAAUUGGUUUUUGGAGAGAAAGAAAGAGAGAGGUUGAUUCCUAGACUGUGGGCUUGGGUUAAAGGGUAUAUGAUAGCAGACAUGUUGAAAAAACAUAUCUUUGGGAGAAAGAAUAACAUUUUUUGGCAUGCUGAAUUUGAGACGUGCAAGGAUGAGAUGGAUAUAGGGCAUUGGAGCUCAGGAGCAGAUCUGAAAAAUAUAAGUUAAUUAUGAAUAUAUAGAUUAGGGCUGACAACAUAAGAGUAGACGAAAUGGCUCAGGAUGAGUGUAGAAUAGAAAGAAGCAUGCCCAUAUGUGAUGGUCAAUUUUCUUUUAAUUUUAAUUUUUGUAGAGAUGGGGUCUCACUAUGUUGCCCAGGCUGAUCUUGAGCUCCUGGCCUCAAGCAAUCCUCCUGCCUCAGCCUUCCAGAGCACUGGGAUUACAGGCAUGAGCCACCAUGAUUGGUCUGGAUUCCUUAUAAAAAAUAUUAUAAUGAGUACAUCAUGUUUAGAGAGCCAAGAAAGGGCAGGGUCCUGCCUAGGAGACAGAGCCAGGACAGGUAUCAUGAAGCUUGUGUAAAGUGAUAUGUUUUGGGUGGAGCCAAGACUCUUCCCCUACUGUUGUUCUGUUCAAUAGAGACCCUGGGUCUUUCUUUUUCGUUUGUGGUGGCGCCCCCUGGAUAGAGCCUCAGAGAGGCAGCAUCACAAAGAGCUAUGCAAGGAAUUGGUUCUGCAGGGGAGACAGUGGAGGGCAAGGUGUGGGGGACUGCGGGGAGGAGGAGGGGGUAGGGGAGAGGUGGUAGCACACAGUGCGAGGAUUCUGUGCCAUGCCAGUUCAGCCUUAUGUUCAAAGCAGCUGUUCUUUCUGGGCUUCCAAGAGAGGAGCACCAUUUUUAUGCCCACAUUGUAACAAACAAUGAGAUAUGUACUGGUUAACAGUAUCAAAUGCAAUGCAGUGAUUAAAUAAGGAGUGGAGAAAAUCUAUGGAAUCUUACAAUUUGGAGGGCCCUGGUGACUUAUCUAAAUACCUUUUUUGCAAUAGAGCAAGUCAGAACCCUGAGGAUCUCAGGGAUUAACAAGGGAGACAGCCAUGUCAAACAAACAAAACCAAUGCACUGUGAUAAGGUGUAAGGCUUAAUAUAAGGUGGGAUAACUUUCUCUCACCUCUCUCAUUCACUAAUCACUUCCUAUCAGCACCUGUCACUGGUAGGUGGUUUCUGAUGCUCCGAAACGCCCAGGUGCGCUGGCUUCCAGCCUAGCUCCUCUCCUCCCUCUGCGUGUUCUUCCUGAGCAAUUUCAUCCAAUUUAACUAUCACCUGUAGACCAGUGAUUUCUCAACCUGUAUUUCUAGUUUCCUGACUUACUGAGCUUGAGUUCAGCAUUUUGAACAAUGGCCAUAGUACUGGGCACAUGGAGGUACUCAGUAAAUGUCUACUAAUUCACUUAAAAGUUGAUCCUAAGUAAACUGAUGAUGUAGGAGUAAAUUUGGAUCUCAAGUAAACUGAAGUUUACACAGUGAGUAAGCAGGGAAAUACUUUCCAAUAGAUUUGACAUAAAACUUCAAUUUCUUUUUUUUUUCUUUUUCUUUUUUUUUUAGAGACAGGGUCUUGCUGUGUCACCCAGGCUAGAGUGCACUGAUGUAAUCAUGGCUCUCUGCUGCAGCCUCUAACCCCUGGGCUCAAGGGAUCCUCCUGCCUCAGCUUCCUGAGCAGCUGGGACUACAAGUGCAGUCCAUCAUAGCCAACUAAUUUUUUUUUUUUUUUGAGAUAGGGUCUCCCUCUGUUGCCCAGACUGGAGUGCAGUGGCAUGGUCUUCGGUCACUGCAGCCUUGAUCUCCCAGGCUCAAGUGAUCCUCUCACCUCAGCCCCCUCGAGUAGCUGAGGCUACAUGCACUUGCCACCGUAUGUGGCUAAUUUUUGCACUUUUUAGUAGAGAUGGGAUUUCACCAUGUUGCCCAGGCUAGUCUCGAACUCCUGGAUUCAAGCAAUCUGCCCACCUAGGCCUUCCAAAGUGCUUGGAGUAUAGGCAUGAGCCACCAUGCCCAGCCUGCCCAGCUAAUUUUUAAUUUUUUUGUAGCGAUGGAGUCCUGCUAUGUUGCCCAGGCUGGUCUUGAACUUCUAGCCUCAAGUGAUCCGUCUGCCUUGGCCUCCCAAAGUGCUGGGAUUACAGUCAUGAGCUACUAUGCUGGGUCUAAAACCUCAGUAAUUAACCGGAAACCAGAUGAGAGUUUCACUAUGGGAAUUGGGUUAGGUGCAGCUAAUCACAGUGAAGAAUAGAUUAAAAUACAUGGAUUUGCAAAUCAGAAUGCAGGUUCUGCUGCUAACUUUGGGAAAUUCAGCUAAUUCUCUGUGUCUUUGUUUCUAUGCUAGUAAUGCUUUAUUUUAAAAUGUAUUUAUGGUUAUUAAGAUGUAAUUCACAUACCAUAAAAUUUAUCGAUUUAAAGUGUACAAGUCAGUGUAUUUACAGACUCAUGUAACCAUCAUCACUAAUUCCAGCGUGUUUUCAUCACCCUAAAAAACACCCUCAUGCCCUCAUUCCCCAUUCCCCAUUACCCCAGUUUCUGGCUACUGCUUUCUAUCUCUAUAUAUUUACUAUACUGUACAUUUCAUACGAGUGGCAUCAUAUAAUAUAUGUCCUUUUGUGUCUGGCUGCUUUCUCUUAAGCAUAAUGUUUAACCAUAAAAAAAGUUAGCAUAAUGUUUUCAAGAUUCAUCCAUCUUACACCAUGUAUCAAUACUUUGUUCCUUUUUAUGGCUAAAUAAUAUUCCAUUAAUUGGAUGUAUCAGAUUUUGUUUAUUCAUCAAUUGAUGGACAUUUGCAUUGUUUCCAUUUUUUUGCUAUUAUGAAUUAUGCUGCUAUGGACAGUACUGUAUGUCCUGCAUGGACAUUACAGAAACUUUUCUGUGUGGCCAUAUGAUGACUCAAUGUUUGACAUCUUGAGGAGCUACCAGUUGCUUUUCUGAGUGGCUGCAUCACUCUGUAUUCCCACCAGCACUGUAUAAGAGUUCCAAUUUAUCCAUGUCCUGGCCAACACUGGUUAUUGUCCAUCUUUUUUAUUGUUGCCAUCCUCAUUGAUAUGAAGGGACACCUCAUUGUGAUUUGAUUUACAUUUCCCUAAUGACUAAUGAUAUUGAGCAUUUUUUUCAUGUGUUUAUUUGCCAUUUGUAUAUCUUCUUUAGAGGAAUGUCUACAAAUCCUUUUCCCACUUAAAAAUUGAUUAUUUUUCUUUUUAUUGUUGCAUUUUAAGAAUUCUUUAUACAUUCUGGAUGUUAGAACCAUAUCAGAUAUAUGAUAGGCAAAUAUUUUCUUCAAUUCUGUGGUUUGUAUUUUCACUUUCUUGUUAGUAUAUUUUGAAGCAUAAAAGUGUUUAAUUUUGGUGAUGUCCAUGUCCACUUUAUUUUUUCUUUUGUUGGUUGUGUUUUUGUUGUCAUAUCUAAGAAUCCAUUACCCAAUCCAAGAUCACAAAAAUUAAGGUCUGUAUUUUUUCUAAGAGUUUUAUGGCUUUAGGUUUUACAUUUGGGUUUUUGAUCCAUUUUGAGUUAAUUUUUGUAUAUGGUGUGAGUUAGGGAUCCAAUUUCAUUCUUUGCAUGUGUACAUGUAGUUGUCCCAGCACCAUUUGUUGAAAAGACUCCUCUUUUCCUCUUAAAUUGUCUUAGUGCCCUUGUUGAAAUACAUUGGCCAUAGAUGUAGGGACUCCCAAUUCUACUCCAUUGAACAAUAUGCUCAUGCUUAUUCUAGUACCACAACUAUAAUCCCAGAAUGAAAAGGUGAAUUACAUAGAAGAAAUUUCUAUUCUCAAAUUACUUCAUAACUCAAAAGACUUGUGGGCAAUUCAGUUCUGGGUUUUCUUUCAUCUCUCGUUGGAAAAAAAAAAUCUCUGCAUCAACCCCAUCUAAAAUAACUAAAUUGUAUGCAUAAACCUAAAUUUAAAUACUCAUCUGCAGGUCUCGUUUAUAGAAUCCUACUUAUGUUGAUGAUGUGGGCUUUGGCAAUCUCUUUCUCACUGUAUUCUAUGAAAUAGCUUAAAAAGUCAAUUAUGAAUUGAAGCAUUCAAUUAUUAGAAUGCAUAAUACUAGUUUAAUUUAAAAGUUAGUCUUCAGUUUCAUGCAAAACCC
rnacentral:lncRNA from 1 species